rnacentral:rRNA from 1 species
AAUCAACGCUGGCGGCGUGCCUCAGACAUGCAAGUAGAACGAUUAAGACUCUCUUCGGAGAGUGUAUAAAGUGGCGCACGGGUGAGUAACACGUAGGUAAUGUACCGAAGGGUGGGGAAUAACUUAGGGAAACUUAAGCUAAUACCGCAUAAUGCAGCGGCUCGACAUCGAGACAGUUGUUAAAGGAGCAAUCCGCCUUUUGAGCAGCCUGCGGCAGAUUAGCUAGUUGGUAAGGUAAUGGCUUACCAAGGCUACGAUCUGUAACCGACCUGAGAGGGUGGUCGGUCACACUGACACUGAAUAACGGGUCAGACUCCUACGGGAGGCAGCAGUCGGGAAUUUUGGGCAAUGGGCGAAAGCCUGACCCAGCAACGCCGCGUGAAGGAUGAAGUAUUUCGGUAUGUAAACUUCGUAAGAAUAGGAAGAAUAAAUGACGGUACUAUUUGUAAGGUCCGGCUAACUACGUGCCAGCAGCCGCGGUAAU